CGUGUUCUUCUUCGGCUGCUCCUUCUUCUUCUUUGUGGUUUUUGGCGAAUCGCAAAACCAUGGGAAAAAGUGCAUACUGCCACCUACUGUACCAUGCAGUGUAGUUCGACACUCACCAGGUGGCAGGCAUGCUCCUCUGCAGACAUCUCUUCAACUGCUGACAGAACACUGAUAUGUAUCAGUAUGUAAGGUACAUUCUCUCUCACACACACUCACACACUCUUCCACAUGAACCCGCUGAGCCUCAUCAAGUUGGAUUUGUCAUGACGAAUCCUUCCCAGCUUGUGAAAACACUUUCAUAACCUCUUACUGGGGAACCUGGGGAAGGUUCUUCACUUCUGAGAAAUUAACCCCAAUGAUGUCAUAGUGACGUUGUGAGCUUUACCUCAGCUGGGGCUUGAGACUUCAAAUUGAUGACGCAAAAACCUAAGUUACACACUGCGUUCAUCAUGGCACAUGAUGUCUCUUUGUGGGGUAGUGAAGUGCGGUGAACUUGUUCUGUGUUCGUACAGCAGGAGCUAAAAGAAUGUCCCAGUCAGCAGUUUUCUCCGUCAGAGAACAAGCAGCCCCGACGCAAGAACAGGACAGAGGAGAGCAAAUGAAAGCGAGGACGGGGCUAAUCGUUUAAUCCCUUCUCCCAGGGAAGGAUGUGAGGCUCCGCUGGCUGUGACGCUACUUUUCCAUCACUGGUGACAUCUGGAGGACACAGCCUCCUUCUGGAGCACCCACUGCAAUCUGAUACCCGCCCUCUCUCUCUCUCUCUUUUUUCCUGUCUGUGUACAUUCAGUCUUGUACAUGGAAAUGUUUUGUUGCUACUAAUAACACUUUGUGUGAUGCUGGUGUGUGUGCGUGUUCUAGGGAGGAGGCGUUCUUACUGCUCAAGCAGACGCGUCAGUAUGAGGAGUCUGUGUGUCCCAGCAGACCUCUGCUGGAAAUUUAUUUUUCACUGUGAGUUGUAAAUGUAUCUCUGCUUCCAGAUAAGCUUUGAUUCUCAAAAUAAUCUGUCUGCCUUAUAGAAUGUAAAGAAUGAAUGCACAGCUGAGGGAGUCCAAAGUUGAAGGUGAGCACUCAAAGGACACUACAUUUGCCGCAGUCCUUAUUUCCUGGUUCUCCGCUCAGGUGAUCUACGUGGGGGCAGAGAUUCCUCCGCUCCUCUCAUGGGACGUCCUUGCAGAUCUGCAAUAUACAGUAGAUUAGUAUUACUGUCCCCCUUUUUCUACGUCAAACCUCCAGAGGUCAGUGUGGCCUCAGUCCCAUGUUUUAAGGCAGCCAGCAUCCUUUCUACCAGUCAGCAAUCUUUGCAGGUGUCAUAGGAUGUGGAUGUAGCCAUGCAGAAAGAAAGAGGAAGUAGUAAGUAGGGGGGGCUGGACAGAGAGGCAGGAAGACAGGAAGUGCUUUGGGGACAAGGUGACUCCUCUGCAAGAAAGGCCUGUUAAUUGAUUGUAAGUCCACACACACCUGGGUUAAGGUGGUGUGCUAGAAAAAUGAGGUAUGAAAUAUACAUACCUCACACCUCCUGAUGUGAUUGGCUGUCAGGUGAAAUAUUAAAUCAAUGCACUGCCCCUUUACGUGCACAUACCUGACGAGUAAUCCAAGCACAAGCUGGCAUUUUCUGCAUGUGAGAGCAGACAGGUGAAGGGCAGGCCGGUGGCAGAUUGUCCUCCCCGAAAAACAGACUUUUGUUGACGCUGUGUGCGACUGACUGGUGAUCCGUAACAAUGGCUUUGUUGUCGUCACAAUAGAAGCCGGUGACGUCCACUGCGCUAUUCUGAUUUAUCUACAACGCUUCUUCUUGGUUAAACAGAUAAAUCUCUGAUACGCUAAAUCACCGCUAUUGGGUUUCAUGAGGUGAAAUUCAGAUUGAUGCAGUGACAGCUUUGGUUGAACUGCCUCAGGAUAAAAAAAAAACAUGGAUUUCAUUGUAAUAAACUCUGUUUGACUGCUCUCUGAUUCACAGUGUAAUAUUCCCUUAUCAACCCAACACAGAAUCUGUUAAUGGUUGUGUGUUUUAUAUGACUGCAGGCCAGAGCUGCUGUGACAGGGUGUGUUGUGUUACUAUCACCUUGUGCUUCAAGGACAUCAUGGCCUCAGGGGGACUGGAGGUCUCUGCUGCAGACGCAUCCCAGUGACUGCGUCACCUCUGUGAGACAGAGAGGACACAUUCCAAGCAAUGUCAUGAACUCAAGGAUGUUUAUGAGGGAGCAGCUACAACCCGGUUUCAUCAGAGUCACACACCCAUGUCAGUUGUGAAUACUAUUGAAGGCCCAGAGGAAGGUGAAAAUGCCGGUUGGCGCACUGUAAUCUGGCAUUCAGCGUGCACCUUGUUGUAGCUGUAUGCAUGCAGUGACUUCACAUAACUGUUUUUCGCAG